UAUUGAUCCGCUUACCGAGGAACUGUUGAGAAGCUUCCGAAGAGUCCCAAGGUUUCCUAGAAGAACACAGUGAGACAACAUACCAGCUGCAGGGGGAAAGCGUGGGCUGCUGCCUGGAUAAAGAGGAUAUCAUCUGGAUUCCACAAAUACAUGUGGCUUCAAAUCCAUGUUCUUUUCGGCGCCAGAAGUGGCAAGAAAUAGCAGAAACUGGACAAUGCAUUUGAACGAACCCUAAAAGAGAAAAGUGAAGAGAAAGGGACAUGGAGGGAGCCUAACAGGAGAAAAAGUGAGCCGGAGAUAAAAGUCAACAUAAAGAGAAGGAUUAAUGGACUGUGUGACUCAUAGGUUAUCAAGCUAUACCAUAAUCAGAAGA